UAUGGCCACAUCAAGUUGAAACAUUGGUUCCUAUAUGAUCACCAGAGUUAAGCAAUGUUGAUCCUGGUCAGUACCUAGAUCGGUGACCAUUUAGGAAUACCAGGUGCUGUAA